AAUCUGUGUGCUCCCACUUGUAUUUUGUUCACAGCAACCUUAACAUCUUUCUUAGAGCUCUUUAGGAUGCGCAGGCAGCAGUGCGUGCAGUGAGAUGUGUGCAAGCUGCUGCAGUAAGACAAGACCAGCAGCAGUGCUAAGAAGGAAUGCAGUGAGCAGUGCUGCCAGGCUUUUCUCUUUGAGAGUCUCACACACUCUAAUAGAUGCCAGCUCUUAGCUAAAGCAUUCCAAGCUGUCUGUGCUUGAUCUCCAGAAGCAGCAACUGCUGUCCUUGCUGCUCCUUCCCUGCUGUGGUGAUUCCAACUGAAACACAGACUGAGGGAGUCGGCUGGAAGUGCUGCAGCAGUGAGUGUGGGGAGUGUGCAAAACCACCUCUCACCUGGAUGGUU